GGACUCCAGCAAUUUUUGUACAGUGACUUUAUCAAGAAAUUAAGCGGUGCUGCAGGAACUCUACUCCUAUCCUGGCUACAAUGUUGCCACUAGAUGCACCUGAAGGGAGCAACCAGGUGUACCAGGUUCCCUCUACCACCGAGGAAGGAGUCAGACACCUCUCAGGAUGAUUCAGAACAGAGGUGGAUUGAAUUACUCCAUGGACCUGCCUGUCUCUCCAUUUACUACAGAAGACAUCCGGUGAGACUGGACUCCUAACUUGAGUACCUCUCCCCAUUGCCUAAAUUUGGUUGUAUGAAUCCACCUCUGCAUGUCGCUGCAGAUGAACAUUCAAAUAGAUGGCAACACGCCACUGCCUUUCACAGCUCCUUUUGUUCUUCUCCUUGUUUACCUCUCUCUUAUCACAGAGCAAUUGUGGUUUCUGCAUAUUGAAUUUUUCAAAGUAAAAAAUCCGACACACAAA